CCAGGAAGGUCAUUGACAUGCAAAAUCCUUGUUUAAGUUGUAUUUAUUCGGCUGAACAAAUGGUGGAAUAUUCUACUGAACAAAUGUUGAAGAACAUGGAGACGAGGAAAACACAAGCAUUGUUUAUCAGCUUUUCUGUUGGUGACAAUGCAUGCAAAGUGAGAAAUGUCUUUUUAAUUACCUCUUUCAUUUCCAUUCAAUAUGGCGACACUUUGACGUGAAGAACAUUUUGCUUAAAUUUAAUUACUUUAUAAAUAUCAAAUCAGUGGCGUAGGAGCAGGCUGAAAAGUGUUUGCGUGUGUGUGGAAAGGGAACAAACUUCUGAAAGUGAAAUGCAAUAAUAAAAGAAACUUUGAAAAGGGGGGAGACUUGCUCCAGGCUCAGCUUGUGCAAAUAAAUUCACAUUGCGUACACCAAUUCAACUAGGAUUAAGCCUUUUAAAAACGUAAAGCAGAAGGAUUGAACUGAUGCACCUGUAUGAUUAUAUUUAUAGAUCUAUUUAUCAAGGUCGUUGAUCAUAUGAUUGUAUACCUGUUUAAAAAGGCGUAUACUACGCAAUGUGUAACGUAAUGACUAAAAAUAGAUUGGAAAUUAUGUAUCUAAAUAUAGCUGGAACUUUCUAAGACAUUCUCUUCCGCUGAAGAUUUAGACGAGACUACACGUAAAAUUUUAUAUCCUUUUCGAGCAAAACACUAUGGAUGUAGGAAAGUUGGAAGUAAUAUUUUCGAUAGGAUUAAUAACACAAUUUUCUGUUAUCCUAGCAGAUUGUGAUAACCAGCUCUGCAAACUUGGGUAUGAAUUUUGUGAAACCGAAAAACAAGUGUGUCGACAGUGUUCUGACUUUCAAGACUACUGCUGGGUAGAUAACAUGCAUUUAUCCAACUGUUCGUCAUACUGUAAAGAAACAUUGAGUCCCUCCAGCUGUAAAGAGAGUUCGUUUAUAUGGCUGUAUCCAACAUUGAUAGGAUUGGCUAUAUUGGCCAUAUUGGCUAUAGUAUGUUCUUUCCUUAUAUAUCAGAACCUUAGAUUGCGUCGACAAAUUAAUCAAAAGCUGAAAAUGGAUGAUUCUAGGUCUUCAACUGAAAUAGACGCCUCAUCGGAAGAAGAAACAGACUUGCUCGAGAAAAGUCAAGAAGAAGUCGUUCAUCUACAGGAUAUUAAGGUGGACAAUGAUAGCAGACUUCAUCCCCGAGCAGAUUCGAAUGGCUUUGUACCUCCAAUUCAAACGGCAACAGCCGAUUAUCAAGAAACCGGAAACAUGGCAAUCAGUGGCAGACAACUUCAUCAGUGUGAUUAAAAUCAAAUAGAAAAUAUCGAUUUAUAGAUAAAUGGUAUACAUUGUGAAAUCAUAUGGUCUACCCUAUAUUUCACACGUAGUUGUAAAUAUUUAGUUUUUUUCUGUGUAGUGUUAAUUAGACAACACUCGACGAGAAAUAUAGGGAGUUGAAUAUAUUCAAGAAACUUCUUGAUCAUAAACGGAUGCAUGAAAUUUAUUAAGAGGGAUUUUCAUUUAUAAAUUUGGGGCGUCAGUACUUAAUUUUAGCAUUGAGGUUUUUGUGUUUGUAAUUUUUGCAAUCUGAUUAAAAUAUAAUUUCAUGUACUGUGUCCAUGCUUCACUUACAACUCAAAGUAAGCAUUUGGGUGCAAAGCGUAGACAUAGGAUCUGUAAUUAUUCAGAUAUUUGUUUCCAUGUUAGCUUGUGCUUUCGAAGGAAAGUUUUACCUUUCGGCGAAAUACCAUUUAUAUUGUAAUUGAAUUUGAAUGAAUUCUAAUUUAUAUGGUUUUGAAACAAUGGUAAUAACUAUUUUUUUAUUUAAUAUUAAUAAAAAAAGCAUCCAUUGAACACUUGUCUCAUAAACUUGAAAAUAUAUAGGGUGCACAUGUAUCUUUUGAAUCUGUUUUUAGAAGUAGACCUUUAGGGUUAAUCACAAAUCAACUAUACCAAAUGCAUCUAACAGUAAGGUCACGAAUGUUGUACCCUUUAUGUUGAAAUUGACACACCUUGUUGCUUAGCAUUAAACUAUUUUUCUUCAAAGCACUGUUGUCUCGUAAACUGAGAUAUUUUUUAAGGAAGUCAAGUAAAAUCCAUACAAUUGCCAUCAUAUUUCUGCAUACUUCAUUUUUUUUGUACUCGCCAUUUACUUCAAGUGUAUGAAAUAGACAUUUGCAUAUUCAGAAUUUUGAGAAACAGAGAACAAAAGUGCUUUCCAUUUGGUAUCUUUGACAUUUGAAAUAAUCUAUUUGUAUGCCUGUAUAAAUAAAUGUUAUUGUGAAACCUUAUUAUGGGAGACAUUUAAUUGCUUAAUUAUUUUAUUUGUUAAGUCAUUUAUGGUUUCUACAGUUCUUAGAAUUUUUCCUAAUUUAAAAAUGACUUGACAAAAUUCAAAGUAGUACACACAUAUAGUUAUGAAUAUAUUGAUGUCAUCUAAACGUAACAACCUAAAUGUAUGUAAUUCACAGCUUCAGCGCACAGUAUUGACUAAGGGAAACAUCAUUUGAUUUUCUGGGUGUGGGAGGGUGGUGAAGGGAGGAGUAUUUUGAAAAUGAUCAUUCUUGCAUGGUAAGAGUUGAAAAUGCAUAAUUUUUCGAAUGAUAGGAUGAAAAUGAAUAUUCUGCAACCAUUAAUGUCGCCUUGUACACUGAUAUAGGUGUAAUCUAGAUAAGUACUUUGUUCGAUGGUUAAUGGAGUUGAAUGAUAUUCCCUUUCAGCUGAUGAAGGAUGCACAGGGGUCCCUGAUUUCAAGUUCCCUACUCCACAUCCCACUUCCCUCACCCUACUCCCAAUUCCCUCCCCUUACUCCCAGACGAAAAUCGGCCAAAAAAGAAUUUGGCAGUAUAUCCCUUUUUUACCCCCCCCCCCUCUUCCCCCGGUUCUGUCCCUGACUUUCGCUUCCCGUCCACUCAUUUACAUGUCCCUCUACCCCUUUCCACCCCUCGCUGAUAUUCUUAUCAAUACUCCCCAUGGUUUCCAAUACAUUUCAAAGGGAAUACGUGAAUAGAUCAAAUUUAUUUGUUCAGUGUAUGUUCACUGGUGUUAAUAUGUCUUGAUUGAGUUAAGCCAUUUCAAUUGAUAUUUUAUAGUGUGUCUUUCUAUGUUGUGAUGUCGCACUAUUGUUUCAGAUAAGGGUGAAAGUUUGGUACCAUUAAAACGUUUAAACCCGCUGCAAUUGUUUGCACCUGUCCUAAGUCAGGAAUCUGAUUUUCAGUAGUUGUCGUUUGUUAAUGUGGUUCAUAAGUGUUUCUCGUUUCUCGUUUUUUAUAUAUUGGUUUUCCCGUUUGAAUGGUUUUACACUAGUAAUUUUUGGGGCCCUUUAUAGCUUGCUGUUCGGUGUGAGCCAAGGCUCCGUGUUGAAGACCGUACUUUGACCUAUAAUUGUUUACUUUUAUAAAUUUUGACUUGGAUGGAGAGUUGUCUCAUUGGCACUCAUACCACAUCUUCUUAUAUCAAUUGUCAUAACAAAUAGGAAAACUAAUUUACAAAUAUCAGUAAUGUGGACGUAAAGGUUUCCUCAAUUUAUAUUUAGAUUUACUGACAAGCUUUUCCAUUUUUAUAUAUUUUAUUUCUGUGAAUAACAAUUUUAUGUACUGAUUCUUUCGACGUUAGGAAAUGACAGAUAUGAGUUUUCAUUUUCACAAAAACUUUGAAUUCAUUUUUAAGUCCAAUGGAACUCAUUGUUAUUUUUCUGUUUGAAUUUUUAAUGAAGCUUCAUAGAGAUUUUAAACAAACAAUUUAUAAAAGCAGAUGAAUGGUGAAAUUCAGAAAAUUUAUUUUACUCACUUCUUAAAACCGACGCUUCCAAGAAAGGAUUAAGAAUCGCUGAGUAUUAUUUUUAACGUACAAACUGCAACAAACUUUGGUGCUUUAUCAUUCACAUAGAUUAACAUAAAUCUCUUAAAUGCCAUUUUCAAGGCACGAUAUUUGAACACAUUUAAAUUGUUACGUUUUGAAGGACAUCAGAUCAAAAGGUAUUGCCACAGUUCUUAAAACUGUGCGAACAUGCCUUUCAGUUAUUUAUUUUUGUACAAAUGUAAUGUAAUGUAUCUGUGUAUAUAUAAGUGCAUAUGUAAAUUUAUUAUUGUUUAUAUGCAAAUUUGUAUUUCAUGAAGUAUACAUACAAACCUAAGUAUCUUUAGAACUUCCGGUUUACAUCAAAGUUAUUUAUAUUAUUACUUUACACGACGUUGUUAACCAAUUAAAAUCACUGAAUAACAAACUGUAACACUCUUGAUCACUUGGUACUCAGUUGAAAAAUAUCAAUUGUAACGUACCAGUGACGUCAUUUACAAAUUAAUUUCAUAAUUAAUGUAAUUCUUUACUUAAAAUGUUUAUUUAUUUUGUAAAUAUAAUUACAUUUUUUUGUGUAUAUCAAUUAUGUUGUUUGUUUUUAACUUCGUGCUAAAAGUUACAUAUAUAUUUUGAACAAAGGGCGGCAAUACUGUCAUUUUGCAUAGGAUAAACAAAGCUUAAAGGACGAUUUUUGAUUGAUUGAUUGAUUGAUUGAUUGAUGAUUGAAACAAACACGUGUUUUGUUACAUAUAUUUAAGGUAAAGCCAUAAAUACGACAUUCCGUUAUUACAUACAUUCCAAAGAUUUAUUAUAAACUUAAUAGAACAUUGAAGAAUAAACAAUCUUCACAUAGUUUUUUUCCCCAUAAACCUCUCACUUUCCUCCUGUCACUGUAUGAUGACAAAAUUAAAAUUCAAAAGUCAUUUGUAAUUAAAAUAGUUCUUUGUAUUUAUAAUAAAUCAGAAGGCAAUUUUUAAGAAAAAACGUUUAUAUUGCUGCUUCGUUGACUACAAACAGGCAUUUGACUCCGUAUCCAGACUUAACUUAUGGUAGAAACUGUCAAGAGUUGGUAUAACAGGCAUUUAAAUUGCUGUCUGUUUUAAAAUCAAUGUACUCCACAGUAAAAGUAUGUGUGAAAAUUGAUGGUUUUUAUUCUGAGCAGUUUACAAGUUCAGUUGGUCUUAUGCAAGGGGAAGUUCUUUCUCCCAUACUUUUUUCAUUAUGUGUCAGUGACUUUGAAAUGGAAUUCCUACGUAAAUGUAGUACAAGACUUAUCGUUAUUUUUACUUAUGUACGCUGUUGACAUGAUUAUAUUUUCUGAUUCAGUUAUUGGCUUGCAAGUUAUGUUAGACUUUUCUUAUAUACUUGUAAAUGGGGUUUGACUGUAAAUAUCUCCAAAACAAAAAUUAUGGUAUUUAGAAACGGAGGUUUUGUGAAAGACGAAAAAAUCUGGUAUUAUGAUGGCAAUGCUAUUGACAUAGUUGAUGAAUUUUGUUACCUGGUGUACUGUUAAAUUUUAACGAUGAAUUUGCUAAAACUCAGAGACAUUUAGCUGAGCAAAGUAGAAAAGCUGUAUUUGGUUUAAAGUCGACGGUUUCAUCAUUAUAUGUGAAUGUUUUUACAUAUUUGAAUUUGUUUGAUACUUAUAAAAGUAGUAUACUAUGUUAUGGUUGUUAUAUAUAUAGCUUCCAUAAAGCUCCAAAUAUUGAAAAAGUACAACUAGAUUUUUGCAAAAAUAUUUUAAGUGUCAAACAGUGUACAACAAAUGUUAUGGUCUAUUUUGAAUUGGGUCGAUAUCAAUUAAUAUAUUUUAGAAUGUAUAAAAUAGUGAAGUACUUGUUAGAAUUAUUAUCCACAAGCAACUGUAUUCUUAAGAACGGCUAUAGGGAACAACUGUAUAAUUUUUGUAAUAAUCGAAUCAGUUGGAUUUAUCAAUGUCAACAAUUAUUAUUUAACUUAGGUUUAAAUGAGAUUUGAUAUAACCAAGACAAUUUGAUUAUUGAUAGUAAUGUAUUAUUGAUUGUAAAAACAAGAAUAUAUGAUCAAGCAAAACAGACUUUAAAUGAUCAAAUGAACAUUUCAUAUAAGUGUUAUUUAAGAUAUUGUCCAUUAUGUAAGUUUACAGAAUUAUCUCAUUAAACAUAUGAAAUUUAGAGUGUAUUUAACUCGUCCCAGAUUGUCUUCACAUAAUUUGUUUGUUGAAGAAGGACGUAAUCAUGGAGUAAAAAGGUUAGACAGAAAAAUGUGCUCUUUGUACUUUGAAUACCAUUGAAGAUGAAUUCCAUUUUGUAUUGCAAUGUUAAUGCUAUAGAGAUAUAAGGAGACAGUUUAUUAAACCUUUUUAUUAUAGACGUCCAUCGUCGUUCAAAUGAGUUCAACUUUUCAUCACUGAAAAUGUCAACGAUUUGCGUAAUUUGUGUAAAUUCCUAUUUAAUGCACUUAAUCAUAGGACAGAACUGUUAGUGGACAAUACUUGAUGUUUAUUUGCUUCUCUGAUGUAGUAUGCCAUUUUAGGUUUAACUUAUAAAAAUGUAUUAGUAUUUAUUCUUGUACUAAUAAGCAUAAUGUGCUUAAAGAAAUAAUGAAUUGAACAAUAUGUUUUUAUGCCCCCGCCGUAGCAGAGGGGGCAUGAAGUUUUACCCUUGUCCGUCUGUACGUCCCACAAAUUGGUUUCCGUUCUCUAACUUUAGUUUGCCUCAACCAAAUGUUAUGAAACUUAUACACAAUGCGUAUUACCACAAAACACAGACAAAGUUUGCAUUUUGGUGAUGUCAUUUUUACUGUUCUAGAGUUAUGCCCUUUACAAAUGGAAAAAUUGCUGAAUUUUUCGUUUCCGUUCUCUAACUUAAGAUUGCUUCGACCAAAUGUUAUGAAACUUAUACACAAUGCUUAUUACCACGAAAUUCAGAUCAAGUACGAAUUUUGGGUAGCGUCACUUUUACCUUUCUAGAGUUAUGUCCCUUUAAAAAUGGAAAAAAUUGCUGAAUUUGUUGUUUCCGUUCUCUAAUUUUACUUUGCUUCAACCAAAUGUUAUGAAUCUUAUAUACAAUGCUUAUUAUCACAAAACACAGAUCAAGUUCGAAUUUUGGUGGCGUCACUUUUACUGUUCAAGAGUUAUGCUCCUUUACAAAAGGACAAAUUGCUGAAUUUUUAUACUCUGUUCUCUAACUUAAGUUUGCCUCAACCAAAUGUGAUGAAACUAUUACACAAUGCUUAUUACCACAAAAUUCAGAUCAAGUAUGAAUUUGGGUAGCGUCACUUUUACCGUUCUUGAGUUAUGUCCCUUUAUAACGUUAUAUGCAAGCGAGGGCAUCAUUCUCCAUUUAUUUUUUUAUUUCAAAAACCUUUCAUGUGAAAUAAAACUCUUGUAAAGGAAAAUAUAUUUCUUUGUUGAUUAAUUAUAUAUAAGCGUCCGCAAGAACAUUUCGUUUCGCAAAAGUCUCGUCCAUUGAAUUUUAAAUGUGAAGUCACCUUUUUAUUUAGAAUUUCUGCUAAUACUUUUCGACGAUUUCUUCAGUCCGAAUUAAACCUUUUGAUUAGGACCACUGGAAAAAUCGUUGUAAAUUAAGAAUAACUUGCUAGGUUUUUUGUCUCUAACCAACACUAACACGGUGAAUUAAGCUUCAUAUUUGACAUGGGCUUGUUGCUAUAUCCCUGUUCUUGAAAUACUGAAACAUUAAAAACUGCACAUAUUCUAAUUUUAUGAUUUAUAAAUAUGUUUUAGAAAAAUACAAGAUGAUUCAAGUUAUUCAACAUUUGUCAUACAUAAUAUAUUCAAUGGUUGUAAUUGUGCUUAAUUUGAAUAAUUUUCUAAAAGUGUAUAUAAUUCUAUGUUCAUUAAAACACUUAUUAUCA